GGCAGUGUCCACUAGAGGUAUGUUAAGUGAAGGUCAGCGUCCACUAGAGGUAUGUUUAGUGAAGGUCAGUGUCCACUAGAGGUAUGUUAAGUGAAGGUCAGUGUCCGCAAGAGGUAUGUUUAGUGAAGGUCAGCAUCCGCUAGAGGUAUGUUUAGUGAAGGUAAGCGUCCGCUAGAGGUAUGUUUAGUGAAGGUCAGCGUCCACUAGAGGUAUGUUUAGUGGAAGGCAGUGUCCACUAGAGGUAUGUUUAGUGAAGGUCCGCAUCCGCUAGAGGUAUGUUUAGUGAAGGUCAGCGUCUGCUAGAGGUAUGUUUAGUGAAGUUCAGCAUCCGUUAGAGGUAUGUUUAGUGAAGGUCAGCGUCCACUAGAGGAAUGUUUAGUGGAAGGCAGCGUCCACUAGAGGUAUGUUAAGUGAAGGUCAACGUCCGCUAGAGGUAUGUUAAGUGAAGGUCAGUGUCCGCUAGAGGUAUGUUUAGUGAAGGUCAGCAUCCACUAGAGGUAUGUUAAGUGAAGGUCAGCGUCCGCUAGAGGUAUGUUAAGUGAAGUUCAGCGUCGGCUAGAGGUAUGUUUAGUGAAGGUCAGCCUCCGCUAGAGGUAUGUUUAGUGAAGGUCAGUCUCCACUAGAGGUAUGUUAAUUGAAGGUCAGCGUCCGCUAGAGGUAUGUUUAGUGAAGGUCAGUCUCCACUAGAGGUAUGUUAAUUGAAGGUCAGCGUCCGCUAGAGGUAUGUUUAGUGAAGUUCAGCGUCCACUAGAGGUAUGUUAAGUGAAGGUCAGUGUCCACUAGAGGUAUGUUAAGUGAAGGUCAGCGUCUACUAGAGGUAUGUUUAGUGAAGGUCAGUCUCCACUAGAGGUAUGUUAA